rnacentral:telomerase_RNA from 13 species
GGAUAUAGGGUAGUUCUCCAUUGACUAAUCCGUCAAAUCUGUCAAACAAAACCCCAAAACCGAUCAAUAGGUGCGUUUAGCUUGAUUACACCUCUUAAAUGAAAUCUUGCAAUUCUGGAGAGCUUGAGAGGUGAAACCCCCACAGUUAGGUCAAACAUAGUUUGAGAUUUGUAUCUCAUAUGCUCUAGCUGUCCUCUCAUCUUUUUG